AAAACAGGGGAGCUCGGAUACGGGCUGAGAGGAGGUUUUUGACCUCGACCCUUGACCUGAUGCGGAUAAUGCCGGCGUAGGAAGUUUUGA
rnacentral:ncRNA from 1 species